rnacentral:rRNA from 1 species
UACGUAGGCAGCGAGCGUUGUUCGGAGUUACUGGGCGUAAAGGGUGUGUAGGCGGUUGCUUAAGUUUGGUGUGAAAUCUCCCGGCUCAACCGGGAGGGUGCGCCGAAUACUGAGUGACUAGAGUGCGGGAGAGGAAAGUGGAAUUCCUGGUGUAGCGGUGAAAUGCGUAGAUAUCAGGAGGAACACCUGUGGUGUAGACAGCUUACUGGACCAUUUCUGACGCUGAGACACGAAAGCGUGGGUAGCAAACAGG